rnacentral:rRNA from 1 species
GUGCCAGCCGCCGCGGUAAUACGUAGGUGGCAAGCGUUAUCCGGAAUUAUUGGGCGUAAAGCGCGCGUAGGCGGCUUUUUAAGUCUGAUGUGAAAGCCCACGGCUCAACCGUGGAGGGUCAUUGGAAACUGGAAAACUUGAGUGCAGAAGAGGAAAGUGGAAUUCCAUGUGUAGCGGUGAAAUGCGCAGAGAUAUGGAGGAACACCAGUGGCGAAGGCGACUUUCUGGUCUGUAACUGACGCUGAUGUGCGAAAGCGUGGGGAUCAAACAGGAUUAGAUA